rnacentral:misc_RNA from 1 species
UACGUAGGUGGCGAGCGUUAUCCGGAAUUAUUGGGCGUGAAGCGCGCGCAGGCGGUGAUUUAAGUCUUGUGUUUAAGCCCGGAGCUCAACUCCGGUACGCAUGGGAAACUGGGUCACUUGAGUGCAGAAGAGGAGAGUGGAAUUCCACGUGUAGCGGUGAAAUGCGUAGAGAUGUGGAGGAACACCAGUGGCGAAGGCAGCUCUCUGGACUGUAACUGACGCUGAGGCGCGAAAGCGUGGGGAGCAAACAGG